rnacentral:rRNA from 1 species
GACGAACGCUGGCGGCGUGCUUAACACAUGCAAGUCGAACGGUGAAGCGCCUUCCUUUUUGGUGGGUGUGGAUGAGUGGCGAACGGGUGAGUAACACGUGAGUAACCUGCCCCCUUCUUCUGGAUAACCGCAUGAAAGUGUGGCUAAUACGGGAUAUUCUGGGUCUGUCGCAUGAUGGGUCUGGGACAGAUAUUGUUUCGGUUGGGGAUGGGCUCGCGGCCUAUCAGCUUGUUGGUGGGGUGAUGGCCUACCAAGGCGGUGACGGGUAGCCGGCCUGAGAGGGUGGACGGUCACACUGGGACUGAGACACGGCCCAGACUCCUACGGGAGGCAGCAGUGGGGAAUAUUGCACAAUGGGCGCAAGCCUGAUGCAGCGACGCCGCGUGAGGGAUGGAGGCCUUCGGGUUGUGAACCUCUUUCGCCAGUGAAGCAGGCCUGCCUCGUUUGUGGGUGGGUUGACGGUAGCUGGAUAAGAAGCGCCGGCUAACUACGUG